rnacentral:tRNA from 1 species
GCCCCCGUAGCUCAGUUGGAUAGAGCGGCGGAUUUCUACUCCGCGGGUCGGGGGUUCGAAUCCCUCCGGGGGUA